GAUGAACGCUGGCGGCGUGCCUAAUACAUGCCAGUCGAGCGAAGGGACGAUAAUGUUGUUUUGGUGACGUUAGGGGCGCACGGGGGUAGCACACGUGGAUACUCUCCCUAUAAGUCGGGGAUCACCUCGGGAAUCCGGCGCUAAUACCGGAUUAUCUCUUGAACCGCAUGGUGCAUUGGUGAAAGUCGGUCUUUCUGGAUCUUAUAGAGGGUUCCUCGCUUCUUUAUCUAGUUGGUAAGGUAACGGCUUACCAAGGCAACGAUGCGUAGCCGACCUGAGAGGGUGAUCGGCCACGCUGGAACUGAGACGGGGUAGAGACUCCUGCGGUAGGCCACCGUGGGGAGUCUUCCGGAGUGGGCGAAAGCGUGACGGAGCAACGCCGCGUGAGUGAUGAAGGUCUUCGGAUCGUAAAACUCGGUUAUUAGGGAAGAACAUAUGUGUAAGUAACUGUGCACAUCUUGACGGUACCUAAUCAGAAAGCCGCGGCUAACUCCGUG
rnacentral:rRNA from 1 species